rnacentral:lncRNA from 1 species
CCCUUAAUAGGAAGAGAACGUUAGUACCGCAAGUUGAGUCAAUGCUUGAAGUGUGAACUUUUGAUGCUUGGUUUGGUUUUUUAUUAUGCUUAUGCUUGAUUUGGAUUUUUGUAAUGAGUGUAAUGAUCUUAUGGAGUUUCUCUACAAUUUUAUUUAGUUUAUAGGCCUAAGGCAUAAGGAUUAAUGAACUAAAUAGUUGGGUUUGGUUAAAAUCAUG